GAAUAAAUACAUUAAAAAUAUAUAAAUAUUGGGAAAAUUUCGCAGCGGGAGCCCCGCGGGGUGGGGCAGGAAGGAGGGAGGCGCGCCCCCCCCAGCACCGCCCUGCCCUGCGGACACCGGGAACCGCGCACCUCCGCGGGCACAUUUUAGACCCCCACUGGAUGUUUACACCGUGUCUCUCAUUUGUUUUCCGAGCACCUGCUGCCGGGAGCUGCUCCCCCUGUCCUGCAGAAGUUGAGGGGUUCCCCGUGGUGUGAUGCUGAGACGGCCCCAGCCAUGCGCCCCCGUGCUACCCAGGCCCUGUGUGUCCAGCCAGGCACCUCCGAGUGGAUUUUAGCAAAUUGUAGCAGCGUUCAGCUGGAAGACGCAUCUUAUUCUGCACUAUUCCCUUUGGCAAAAGUCCCUCCGAAGAGAAAACCCUGCCUGCCUGCAGGAAACCUCGCUGUGAAAAUCAGCCUCUGUAUUAUCAGGAAUUCUUGGGUUUCCAUCGUUAGUGGCACUGUGAACUGUCACAAUAUUAUGGGUUGCUCCUUAGCACGUGGAACUUGGGCCGCAAUGAGUAACAGCCAUUUGCACCGACUGAGGACUUGCCCGUGGCAUUUCCGCGGCGAUUUUUUAAAACCACUUCUGUUUUAGCCCAUUUGCUUUGUUAAACAUUAUGUGCGCAAGGUAUGGGGACGCCGGAAUGCAAAAUAGUGAUUGCUUCUAAUAAAUAAAUGUUGAGUUCA